rnacentral:rRNA from 1 species
UACGAAGGGGGCUAGCGUUGUUCGGAAUUACUGGGCGUAAAGCGUAUGUAGGCGGAUCGUUAAGUCGGGGGUGAAAUCCCGAGGCUCAACCUCGGAACUGCCUUCGAUACUGGCGAUCUUCGAGUCCGGGAGAGGUGAGUGGAACUCCGAGUGUAGAGGUGAAAUUCGUAGAUAUUCGGAAGAACACCAGUGGCGAAGGCGGCUCACUGGGCCCGGUACUGACGCUGAGGUGA